rnacentral:rRNA from 1 species
UACAGAGGUCUCAAGCGUUGCUCGGAAUCACUGGGCGUAAAGCGCACGUAGGCGGCUUACUAAGUCAGGGGUGAAAUCCUGGAGCUCAACUCCAGAACUGCCUUUGAUACUGGUGAGCUUGAGUCCGGAAGAGGUGAGUGGAACUGCGAGUGUAGAGGUGAAAUUCGUAGAUAUUCGCAAGAACACCAGUGGCGAAGGCGGCUCACUGGCCCGAUACUGACGCUGAGGCACGAAAGCGUGGGGAGCAAACAGG